rnacentral:rRNA from 1 species
AGCGAACGCUGGCGGCAGGCCUAACACAUGCAAGUCGAACGGACCUUUCGGGGUUAGUGGCGGACGGGUGAGUAACACGUGGGAACGUGCCUUUAGGUUCGGAAUAGCUCCUGGAAACGGGUGGUAAUGCCGAAUGUGCCCUUCGGGGGAAAGAUUUAUCGCCUUUAGAGCAGCCCGCGUCUGAUUAGCUAGUUGGUGAGGUAAUGGCUCACCAAGGCGACGAUCAGUAGCUGGUCUGAGAGGAUGACCAGCCACAUUGGGACUGAGACACGGCCCAAACUCCUACGGGAGGCAGCAGUGGGGAAUCUUGCGCAAUAGGCGAAAGCCUGACGCAGCCAUGCCGCGUGGAUGAUGAAGGUCUUAGGAUUGUAAAAUCCUUUCACCGGUGAAGAUAAUGACUGUAGCCGGAGAAGAAGCCCCGGCUAACUUCGUGCCAGCCGCCGCCGUAACAC